UACCAGCACCCCGAGUGGUCGGGACGUUUAUUGGGCCUAAAGCAUCCGUAGCCGGUUCUACAAGUCUUCCGUUAAAUCCACCUGCUCAACAGAUGGGCUGCGGAAGAUACUAUAGAGCUAGGAGGCGGGAGAGGCAAGCGGUACUCGAUGGGUAGGGGUAAAAUCCGUUGAUCCAUUGAAGACCACCAGUGGCGAAGGCGGCUUGCCAGAACGCGCUCGACGGUGAGGGAUGAAAGCUGGGGGAGCAAACCGG
rnacentral:rRNA from 1 species